GAAUCGAUGGUUAAACAACAC
rnacentral:miRNA from 1 species